CGCGGGCGGCCGGGCGUGGAGGCUGGGGCCGGCAGGUUGCAGGGUCUGCGCUGCGCCUGCCCUCCACCCGGGGCCCCGACACGAGAGGAAGCCCCGCGCUCCCUCCCGGAGCGCUGGAGACAGAUAUGCAAGAUGGCAGAGAGGGGGAAAGCCAAUAGAAAAGGGAUAUUGCACCUACUUGUGGCCAGUUUCCUUGCCCUGCCUUUGGAUCUCAUGCUGUGCCCAGUCCUGCAGCCGCUGAACUAGAAGGACCGGACUCCUCGGGCGAACGAUCCAGGAGAAAGUGAGAAUCAUCCUGAACAUCGGGAAUCUGCUGCCGCUGCUACUGCUGCUGAAGCUAUUUCGGCUUCUGCUUUCAGAGUUGAAAGCUGAAUAAAUAACUGUUUCUUUCUUGAUUUUAGGAUUUACCAAUGAAGUGGGCAUGCAGAAAUGGGGACCUCUUAAAAGGAACUAGCUGUGUUCAAGGAGAGGAGGUGGAGUCCACUGAGGACCGAAGAACAUCCACGACAAGAGGAGGCUCUGCCUGGGACUUUUCACUUCAUCUUACUCCGGGGAGUUUAAAAAAUAAAUAAAAUGUGUUAC
rnacentral:lncRNA from 1 species